CAGAUUAGCCAUGCAUGUCUAAGUAUAAAUUCUUGUACGAUGAAACUGCAGACGGCUCAUUACAACAGUGAUAAACUGCUAGACUUUCGGGUUUUUAACCUUUUGGAUAACCGCAGUAAAUCGGGGCUAAUACAUAGAAGCGAUGGGUGACUGGCAACGGAAGCUCAGCGAUUAUUAGCGUUACUACCAAUACCUUCGGGUCUUGUGGUGAAACCGAAUAAUAUUGCAGAUCGAGGAUUUAUCUUCGACAAGUCUACUGUGUCACUGCCCUAUCAACUUUCGAUGGUACGGUAUUGGCCUACCAUGGUUGUAACGGGUAACGGGGAAUUAGGGUUCGAUUCCGGAGAGGGAGCCUGAGAAAUGGCUACCACUUCUACGGAAGGCAGCAGGCGCGCAAAUUACUCAAUCCCAAUACGGGGAAGUAGUGACAAUAAAUAUCAAUACCUAUCCUUUUUGGAGGGCAAUUGAAAUGAACACAAAUUAAAACUCUUAAUUAACACAAUUGGAGGGCAAGUCUGGUGCCAGCAGCCGCGGUAAUUCCAGCUCCAAUAGCAUAUACUAAAGUUGUUGCAGUUAAAAAGCUCGUAGUUGAAGUUAAAGUUAUAUUGGGCUCAAGUUUUUUACCACUCUGGUGGCUAAAACAACUCCAAUAUUUCUUUUUUUAAUAGCUCAGUUUCUAGGUCUUUGACUCUAGUUAUUUGGGCAUUUCACUGUGAGAAAAUUGUGGUGUUUAAAGCAGGCGUCUCGUCUGAUCUUUUGCAGCAUGGUAUGAUGAAACAUGACAUUUUACG
rnacentral:rRNA from 1 species